rnacentral:rRNA from 1 species
AGCGAACGCUGGCGGCAGGCUUAACACACGCAAGUCGAGCGGGCCCUUCGGGGUCAGCGGCGGACGGGUGAGUAACGCGUGGGAACGUGCCUUCUGGUCUGGAAUAACCCUGGGAAACUAGGGCUAAUACCGGAUACGCCCUUUUGGGGAAAGGUUUACUGCCGGAAGAUCGGCCCGCGUCUGAUUAGCUAGUUGGUGGGGUAACGGCCUACCAAGGCGACGAUCAGUAGCUGGUCUGAGAGGAUGAUCAGCCACACUGGGACUGAGACACGGCCCAGACUCCUACGGGAGGCAGCAGUGGGGAAUAUUGGACAAUGGGCGCAAGCCUGAUCCAGCCAUGCCGCGUGAGUGAUGAAGGCCUUAGGGUUGUAAAGCUCUUUUAUCCGGGACGAUAAUGACGGUACCGGAGGAAUAAGCCCCGGCUAACUUCGUG